rnacentral:rRNA from 1 species
UACGUAGGGGGCAAGCGUUGUCCGGAUUUAUUAGGCGUAAAGCGCUCGCAGGUGGUUCGUCGCGUCGUGCGUGAAAGACCCCGGCUCAACUGGGGGAGUGUCGUGCGAUACGGGCGGACUGGAGGCCAGUAGGGGGAUGCGGAAUUCCGGGUGUAGCGGUGAAAUGCGUAGAUAUCUGAAGAACACCGGUGGCGAAGGCAGCAUCCUGGACCGACACUGACACUGAGGAGCGAAAGCCAGGGGAGCAAACGGGG